UGCAUGGAUGAGAGGGGCCAGCCCUGCUCCUGGACCCAAAUUCCUAAGGGCAGAGCAAGGAGAAGGGCCUCGUUUCCCAGCUGAGGCCUGGGAGCAAUUUUGGCCGAGGAAUGUCUUUCAUCUGGAGCACAUUAGCCAUGGGUGGUGCUGCUGGGGAGCAGCAGCUCUACUUAAGGCAGCCUCUGCCAGCUGCCUCUGGGCUAUCAGUGGUGGCUCUGCCAAGCUGGGGUCUUGGGUGCUCUCCUGUGGGCUGAGGCUCCCCAGGAGAUCUGUUCCUGUGCUGGGAAAGCCUUCCUGACUGUCUGACAAAUGUCUCAAACAUGAAGAAACAAGGAUAUAAUAAGGCUUGUAUGCUGAAUUCCAAACAUUCUUGUGCUUUGCCUUCUGCCAUCGAUAUAAUGGUUAUAACCAAGUAUUUUGACUAUGAGAUCGGUUUGAAUCUGUAGUUUGAUACAUCUGUAAUGACAGAAUCAACCCUAAGCGAGCAGACUGAAAGCUGCCACUGUCCUUUGACCUGUGUGAGUGAAGCUGAAGAGUGUGACUUAUGAGGAAACAGCAAAACAAACAGUCUGUGAUGAAUGCUUGCCUCAGUGGUUCAGUGGGGAGCCCUCCUGUUAUACCACUGCUCUGGGUGAUGUAGCUUGCCUGUACAACAGAGUCUAGUAUGAUCCUCUUUGCAUGUCCCCAGCUCUGGUCUGGUUCAGGUUUGUUCCUCAUUGUGGUCUCCAGUGUUCAUCUCUGACUGGUCUGGGCACUAAUGCACUUUGUGACCUAAAUCCUUCUGAACAUCUCUUUAUACCAGAAGAGGCAACCAUAAUUCCCCUGAAGCUGCAGCACAGUCAGAACCCAGAAUGUACCUCUAAAGUACCGUUAACUUUUACUGUAUCCUGACUUCAGCCUCUGCUUCAAAUCUGGGCCAGGUGGUUUGGUAUUUUUCACGGAGGUCUUAGAAUUAAUCUUACUGCUUGCUGUGUGCAGCUGUAAGUGGUGAGAUGUAUUGACUGUAACCAUAUAGAUUAAAAGGAAAGGUCUCAGUUUUUGCCUACAAAUACAAUCUGCUGCCUAGUUAGCCAGGUUAGAAAAAGAUUUCAUGAGCCUGGACAGGAGGUCUAGAGUUUAAUUUGUCUCUCUCCUGCUGCUGUUAGGGAGGAUCAGGCUUAACAGACCAUUGCACAGAUCUGUUUGGCACUUUGGACUUUCUGUGUCUCCCUAGGGACUGACCUUGGUCCUCAUCUGAGAAACUGUCUUGAGGGUCUCUUAUAAUAAGCAUUGAGUUUGAUCAGCUAGUAGCUAUAAAGAAAGCCCAGGUCCAGGGAAAUCAGAAGUCUGCUAGCCAGGAAAUAUCCCUGGAUGGGAAGGAAAUUUCCAGAGUGUAAUUUGAGAUCCUCAGUUCCUAUUAAUGGACCUUAUUCCCUGUUUUGUAGAACUGUAAACUUGAAGAUAAUCUGAAAUAUAAAAGCGACAGAGAAUUUAGUCAUAGUAGCUUAAAUUCUUUUCUUUUGAACCACGUGAAAUGUCAGGACAGGAAAGCUCUCCCAAGGGUUAAUACCAUCCAAAACUCUAGCUGCCUCUGAAUUAACAAAGUCCCCAAGUGGACUGAUACCACAGGAUGCAGAUGUUCUGGCAACUACCAUCAAUCUGCAAGCCAAGUUUAUGCUAAAAUUUUCUUCUUUUUCUUUUUUUUUAAUAGGCUUGGCUUUAAAAAAAAAAAAACCAACAAACUCAAACCUAAAUGCUCACCCAGACUAUAAGCCUUGUUUAGAAAUGUGAAUGGGUGUAUGUUCUCCUGCUGGCUUGGUAAUUUGGUAGAUGUUAACACAAUGUAAAUACAGCACAAUACAGUUUGGCAUGGUGUUUAUAAGGACAUAUGGGAACUAUCAUUUUUAUGCAACCUAGUACUGGGUUUAGUGCUUCUGAAGGGCUUCUGCUUCGCCUGUGUGUGAGCUUGACUGUAGUGGGAAUGAAUUAUGAAGAGCGGUGAAAUGUGCACGUCUUGUAAACAUGGUCAUGUU